rnacentral:rRNA from 1 species
CCCUUAGAUGUUCUGGGCUGCACGCGCGCUACACUGAUGCGUUCAACGAGUUUAUGACCUUGCCCGAUAGGGUUGGGUAAUCUUUUUAAAUCGCAUCGUGAUGGGGAUAGAUUAUUGCAAUUAUUAAUCUUCAACGAGGAAUGCCUAGUAAGCGCAAGUCAUCAGCUUGCGUUGAUUACGUCCCUGCCCUUUGUACACACCGCCCGUCGCUCCUACCGAUUGAAUGGUCCGGUGAAGCGUUCGGACCGUGGCCUUUGGACGGUUCGCCGUCUGUUGGCUGCGGGAAGUUCGUUAAACCUUAUCAUUUAGAGGAAGGAGAAGUCGUANCA